GACGAACCGUGCGAACGUUGUUCGGAAUCACUGGGCUUAAAGGGCGCGUAGGCGGGCUGUCAAGUCUGGGGUGAAAUCCCGCGGCUCAACCGUGGAACUGCCUCAGAUACUGACGGCCUCGAGGGGGGUAGGGGCAUGCGGAACUGUAGGUGGAGCGGUGAAAUGCGUUGAUAUCUACAGGAACUCCGGUGGCGAAAGCGGCGUGCUGGACCUCUUCUGACGCUGAGGCGCGAAAGCUAGGGGAGCAAACGGG
rnacentral:rRNA from 1 species